UACAGAGACCUCGAGCGUUAUCCGGAAUCACUGGGCGUAAAGCGCACGUAGGCGGCUUCUUAAGUCAGGGGUGAAAUCCUGGAGCUCAACUCCAGAACUGCCUUUGAUACUGGGAGGCUCGAGUCCGGGAGAGGUGAGUGGAACUGCGAGUGUAGAGGUGAAAUUCGUAGAUAUUCGCAAGAACACCAGUGGCGAAGGCGGCUCACUGGCCCGGUACUGACGCUGAGGUGCGAAAGCGUGGGGAGCAAACAGG
rnacentral:rRNA from 1 species